rnacentral:misc_RNA from 1 species
GGACGUGGACCGACUUCGGUCGGAAGGAAACUUAACGUCC